rnacentral:tRNA from 1 species
CCUGCUUGGUAAUUUUAAUCAGUCCAAGAACCAAUUGCUGCGCCCUCAGAUCAAUAGCCCCUGGGAGGGACUGAGGAUGGUCUCGGGGGAGGCCCUUCAGCUGCUCCUGCAGGGGAAUCAGUUCCUUCCUGCCUCAGAUUCACUCUAAUCAAGCUUCUUCCACUUUAUUGCUUUAUGAAAGCAGCCUCCUCCAAGAACCUGAGCUGGCACCAAGUCAGGAUGACCAGAAUGAAAUCAGUGGCUAAAACGUAUCUUUUCAUAUCUUAAAAUCCAAUUUUCCAGUAAGGGCUUGGAGUUUUGUUUUUUUGUUUGUUUGUUUCUUUCUUUCUUUCUUUUUAUUCUUUGUUUAUUUGUUUUUUGUUUCUUUCAUGCAUUGAGGAAGAGAUGAAAGAAUAAAUGAUGGACUAGUCCGCACUUGGUAAAUGGUUAAUGAAGGAGAACCAAAUAAUAUAAUGUAUGCGAAACAGAUGUCAUCAGCGAAGAGUGAAAAUUAUAACUGAGCUGGACAGAACAGCAGUCUUACUCUGUGGCGCCAUCUGCUGGAAGUAAGUUAGCACCACAUGUCCGUUUCUGCUUUAGAGAAGCAGGCGGACAUGAGGUUCUGAAAAUACAAGCAAAGCGCUGAGUAAAAAUGGAACACAUUUCAGCAAAAUCUAACAUUUGCCAGAUACCGUGCGAGAAACAUGCAUUAUUUCUCUUCAUCCUCACUGUAACUAUGAGAGGCGUAUACUAUGAUUAUUUUAUCUUUAGAGAUUAAAUAUCUGAGGGCUUCUUGGCAUUCCCUGGUGGCUCAUUGGAUUUUAGGAUCCAGCCAUUAUCAGUGCUGUGACUUGGGUCCCUGCUGUGACUUGCAUCCCUGCUGUGGUACCAGUUGAAUCCCUGGCCUGGGAACUUUUGCAUGCCACAGGAGCAGAGAAAAAAAAAAGAAAGAAAGCAAAAAGAAGGAAAAGAAAAUGAAAAUCUAAGGCUUAUCAAGGAUUCUAGUGAAUAUAUAUAUGAAUGUCUGAGCCCACAGAGCUAGUGGGUAUUUGGCAUAAGACUCAAAACACAGUUCCAUCUGACUUCAGAGCCUCUCGUGGGUUAGUUCCCCAGGAAUUAAACUCAAACAUGGGGAUAUGCAUGCAGGAAGAUUAUUACAGAGUGUUUUAGGAUCACAGAUGGAAGGGAAAAAAUCAAACUUCAUGCAGCCUCAGCAGAGGCCUCAGCUGAUGCCAAGAGGUUAGAAUGGAGCUGGGAUGGCAAGAAGGCUGGGACUCCCGCUUCAUCCAAUCUUUGCAUGUAGAACUUGGGCUAGGUUGUUUUCCUCAGCCAAGGGCAAAUCCUCAAAAAGGACUCAGCUGAGAACUGUCAGUAGCCUAAGAUCCCAGCAGCUGGGGCAAUAUACAAGCACCGCAUUCCUGGAGUGCGGAGGUCUGCGCAUCAUGCCACAGUAUCCACUACAGAGCCCCUAUACUUGUCACAUCUGCACUGCUGCUCCAAUAGGGGGUAGGUAACCAAGGUCAAUGUCAUGGGUAGUAGGGGGGGCAGGGGUUAAUGAGCAAACAUAGUUCUGCCCACCAACCACCCAGUGAAACUGAUUCAGGCCAUGCCUACCAUUCAGUUGCAAUAACUGAUUCAUACAGAAAUAAUAUAUAGAUUGCUUUAUGGGUUUCAAGCCAUUAACAAAGAAGUAAAAUGCAAUGUUCAACUAACUGGGCAAGUGAUUGGUGAUGGAUUCCUUGAUACAUUCAAAUAAGAAAUGGAAGAAUUGAGGGCCACAAAUUGACUAAUGUAUAAAUCAAGAGUUCCUGUCAUGGCUCAGCAGCUAAUGAACCGGACUAGCAUCCAUGAGGACAUGGAUUCAAUCCCUGGCCUUGUUGAGCAGGUUAAGGAUCCGGCGUUGCCGUAAGCUGUGGUGUAGCUCACAGAUGUGGCUUGGAUCCCACGUUUCUGUGGCUGUGGUGCAGGCUGGCUGCUGUAGCUCUGGUUAAACCCCUAGCCUGGGAACCUCCAUAUGCUGCGGGUACAGCCUUAAAAAGACAAAAAAAAAUCAUUCGUGCCGUAUAUUCUAUUCCAGACAGAUCCUGCUGUAUAGAACAGGGAACUAUAUCUAGUCACUUGUGAUGGAACAUGAUAGAGGAUAAUGUAAGAAAAAGAAUAUAUAUAUAUAUAUAUUUUUACAUUUGUAUGACUGGGUCACUUUGCUGUACAGUAGAAAUUGACAGAACACUAUAAACCAACUAUAAUGGAAAAAAUUAUAAAAAAUAAAUCAUUUAGUGGCAAAUGAAAUUGGUUAAAAACAUUUCGCUCCCUCUCCCACACCACUUCUAUAGGAGGAGUGAAGUUUUAAUGUUGGGAGGUGUUAGCCUUGGUUCUGUCAGCCACCCACUGACCUUAGGCUUGGUCAUGUGACUUGCUUUUCCCAAUGAGAUGUCUGCAGUUACUGACACAAGCAGAGGCUUGAAAUGUACUUGGGUGGUUGGCCUUGCCUUCUUGUGCUUCUGUCAUGCCCUGGCUGCUAGGUCACUGAGACUGCAGAACUAUACAUCAAAGUCAGUAGGAAAAUUGUUGUUUUAUAUCACUAAGUUAUGAGGUGGCUUGUUUGGCAGCUUUGGUUAAUCAAUACACAUUUACCAAGCUGUGGAGGAUAACAUACAGGAAUGAACUCCUCAAUAAUAAUUUUGACUGUAUAUGAUUUUUCCUAAGAACAGUCCUUAAUCCUUAGUCUCCAUAAAUGAUCUGAAUCUCAUGCUUAAAUAUGGGAAAAAAUUGGGCCAGGCAUUAUUUUGAGCAUCUGUGGCAGAGACCACUAAAUGCCCCUUAGUCAAUGUCUCUAUAUUUAUUUCUUGAGCAAUAAUAAACUCCAGUGUCCCCAAACCAUCCGGAAACAGGGGUAUAAUAUCUGUGCAGUCCUCCCAGAAAGUGAUACUAGAAUCUGUUCAAUUUGGCCAUGAGGAUACUGGACAAGGAAGAGUGUCCCCAAGGGAAGAGCCAAGGGUCAUGGAGGUCAGAGGUCAGGUAGGAGGUCAGAGGACAGGUACACUCAUCCUAGAAAGCAGGACCAACUCAGCUGACAAAGGAGGAUGUCUGUCCAAUACCUGGACUUUAUUUAUUUAUUUAUUUAUUCAUUCAUUUAUUUAUCAGGCCCAUGGCAUGUGGAAGUUCCCAGGCCAGGAAUGGAACCUGAGCCACAGCAGUGACAAUGCCAAAUCCUUAAUUGCUCGGCCACCAGGGAACUCCUGAAUUUUUUAAUAAUAGUAUUUAGAGGUCAUUUCCCUUGUGCCCAGGCACAUGAUCCCCCAAAUACAUGCUAAUCUUCCCAACCUUCCUUAUAGCCAAGUGUGGGCAUGUAACUGAGUUCUAUCCAGUGGGGUGCAAAUCAGAUAAUCACAUAGCAGAUUCUAGAAACUUCAUUAAGAGACAGCUGGGUUACACCAAAUACCUCUACCUUUUUCGCUCUGAUAUCUUUUUUCCUUCUGGUUUAGAUGCAGGUGUAAUGGCAGGAGCUGGACCAGCCAAUUUGGACUAUAAGGUAAGUUUGAUUCAAAUGGGCAAUUAAUGUAGAAUGAAGCAACAAGACUAAAGGAGCCUAAGUUCUGGAAAAUUUGAUGGCACAAACCGCCAAAUCAACCCCAAACUUCCUAUCUUUAACUUUUACAGGAGAGGGGAAAUAAAACAACUUCAUCUUAUUCAAGUCAAUGAUAUUUGGCCUCUCUGAUAUUGGCAAACGCACCUAAACCCAACUGAUAUAGCAUCCAACUAUUGACAACUCAUAGUCCUUACAUUUAAUUAGAAGGAAAGAGAUCUUGUUACUGUUUGUAAAAAGACACUCUAGAUAGAAAUUUAUGUUGGAGUUCCUGUCGUGGCGCAGUGGUUAACGAAUCCGACUAGGAACCAUGAGGUUGCGGGUUCNNNNNNNNNNNNNNNNNNNNNNNNNNNNNNNNNNNNNNNNNNNNNNNNNNNNNNNNNNNNNNNNNNNNNNNNNNNNNNNNNNNNNNNNNNNNNNNNNNNNNAAAAAAAAAAAAAAAAAAAAAGAAAAGAAAUUUAUGUCUGUGAUUCAGUGUGCUGGAAAAAAGACUAUACUGGAGUUAGAAGAACCAAAUUCUAGCCCCUGCACUGUUGCUGAUGAAUCAUAUGACCUUUGCCAUAUUUCUCUGAUCAAUAAAAUAAGAGGGUUGGAAGAGGAAUAAAUUCAGGAAAAUCAAUAAACAUAGAAGAUGCUUACCAUCACUGGUAAUAAGAGAGAUGCAAAUUAAAACAAGCAGAUACACAUUAACUCCAAUGAGAUUGGCAGAAUCAAAGUGCCUAAUAAGUCCAGGUGUUGAUGUGGACAAGGGGGAAACAGAAUUUUCCUACAAUGCAGGUGGAAAUGAAACUUGGUACAACCAGUGAAAGUCAACCAUUUGCAAUAAAGCUGGAAACAUGCAUGUCUUGUGAUCCAGCAGUUCACCUUCUAAAUAAAUACCCUAGAGACUCUUUUGCUGUCAUGUCCCGUUUGAUGAUCUAGGCCACCGAUGAAAAGACCUAUGAUCUCCACAUGUAUUAUAGAAACGAAUUAGGUAAGGACAUUGUCAUAUAUUCAGGCAAUGGAGUACUAUCACAAUAGGAAAAUGCUCCUUCAGGCUUAGCCUCACUGUUACCUGUCCUGGGGUAGCACACUAUUCUUUGUAAACCCUGUGAAAUUCUCCUAAUGGGUGCACCAUAUUAGGAUACAGAGAGAAACCUAGCAGUUCCUUUGGAACGAUUCAUGAGCUCUUCAUGACCCAUU